UUUUGUAUAAUGGGUCAGCGACUUCGUCUCUCGAGCAAGCUUAAGCCGAUAGGUGUAGGCGUAGCGAAAGCGAGUCUUAAUAGGGCGACUGAGUUCGAGGGAUGAGACCCGAAGCCGGGUGAUCUAGCCAUGUGCAGGUUGAAGGUGCGGUAACACGCACUGGAGGACCGAACCCACGUAUGUUGAAAAAUGCGGGGAUGACGUGUGGCUAGGGGUGAAAGGCCAAU
rnacentral:rRNA from 14 species